rnacentral:rRNA from 1 species
CACGUAGGGUGCGAGCGUUGUCCGGAAUUAUUGGGCGUAAAGAGCUCGUAGGCGGUGUGUCGCGUCGGCCGUGAAAACUUGCAGCUUAACUGUGGGCGUGCGGUCGGUACGGGCAUCACUGGAGUUCGGCAGGGGAGACUGGAAUUCCUGGUGUAGCGGUGAAAUGCGCAGAUAUCAGGAGGAACACCGGUGGCGAAGGCGGGUCUCUGGGCCGAUACUGACGCUGAGGAGCGAAAGCGUGGGGAGCGAACAGG